UCAAAGUGAUGGGGUGACCGAUGGUCCCUGUU
rnacentral:piRNA from 2 species